ACAAGCGGUGGAUGAUGUGGAUUAAUUCGAUGCAACGCGAAAACCUUACCUACCCUUGACAUGUUCGGAAUUCCGCAGAGAUGUGGAAGUGCUCGAAAGAGAACCGGAACACAGGUGCUGCAUGGCUGUCGUCAGCUCGUGUCGUGAGAUGUUGGGUUAAGUCCCGCAACGAGCGCAACCCUUGUCAUUAGUUGCUACGAAAGGGCACUCUAAUGAAACUGCCGGUGACAAACCGGAGGAAGGUGGGGAUGACGUCAAGUCCUCAUGGCCCUUAUGGGUAGGGCUUCACACGUCAUACAAUGGUCGGUACAGAGGGCUGCCAACCCGUAAGGGGGAGCCAAUCCUUUAAAACCGAUCGUAGUCCGGAUUGAGGUCUGCAACUCGACCUCAUGAAGUCGGAAUCGCUAGUAAUCGCGGAUCAGCAUGUCGCGGUGAAUACGUUCCCGGGUCUU
rnacentral:rRNA from 1 species